rnacentral:rRNA from 1 species
UGGGGAAUUUUGGACAAUGGGCGCAAGCCUGAUCCAGCAAUGCCGCGUGCAGGAAGAAGGCCUUCGGGUUGUAAACUGCUUUUGUACGGAACGAAACGGUCUGGGUUAAUACCCUGGGCUAAUGACGGUACCGUAAGAAUAAGCACCGGCUAACUACGUGCCAGCAGCCGCGGUAAUACGUAGGGUGCAAGCGUUAAUCGGAAUUACUGGGCGUAAAGCGUGCGCAGGCGGUUUUGUAAGACAGGCGUGAAAUCCCCGGGCUCAACCUGGGAAUGGCGCUUGUGACUGCAAAGCUGGAGUGCGGCAGAGGGGGAUGGAAUUCCGCGUGUAGCAGUGAAAUGCGUAGAUAUGCGGAGGAACACCGAUGGCGAAGGCAAUCCCCUGGGCCUGCACUGACGCUCAUGCACGAAAGCGUGGGGAGCAAACAGGAUUAGAUACCCUGGUAGUCCACGCCCUAAACGAUGUCAACUGGUUGUUGGGUAUUUACUUACUCAGUAACGAAGCUAACGCGUGAAGUUGACCGCCU